CACCUGACACCUGACACCGAACUGACAGUAGCGGCUCCCCAGUGAGGCUGGAAGGAGGGUGGAGGACACGACAGAGAAAAGAAGAUGCUUUAUGGCAAAGGGUAUAAGCUGCAGCUUUGCUUGGAGUUUUACCACAAAACAAAUAUAUUCAUCAUGUGAUGUUUAAAUAUAAACAUAUAUAUUUAAUAAUAAUUGAUGGGGCUGGGCAUGGUGGCUCAUGCCUGUAAUCUCAGCACUCCUGGAGGCUGAGGCAGGCAGAUCACCUGAGGUUAAGAGUUUGAGACUAGCCUGGCCAACAUGGUGAUACUUGUCACUAAUAAAAAUACAACAAAAUUAGCUUGGCAUGGUGGUGCAUGCCUAUAAUCUCAGCUACUGGGGAGGCUGAAGCAGGAGAAUCGCUUGAACCUGGGAGGUGGAGGUUGCCAUGAGCCAAGAUCAUGCCACUGCACUUCAGCCUGGGUGACAGAGAAAGACUUCUUAUAUUUAAAAUAUAAUAAUAUUAUCAGAAUAUCAUAAUAAUAAUAAUUGUAACAGGUGGAAUGAGAAUAUGGCUCCAUCCUCUAGGAUAAAAAUGAAGUACUGCUCUCAUAUGUGAGAAAAGUUAUAACCAUUUUUACUGAAAACACCUGUUUCACAAGCCUCUCCACAGUAACACCACGGUCUCCAUGAGCUUAAUAUGCUGCAAAUGGAUUAAUGAAUCUCCUGCUAUUAUUUAGGUUGAUUUCAUAUUCUUAAAAUAAAGAUGGAAUCAAACAUCUUGUAUCAUUCAUGUCUGUGUAUGAACUUUCCAUUCUAAUUACUAAGAUUUUGGAGUCAGAAACACAGCAACCCAUUCAAUUACCUAAAAAUAUAGUAUAAAAUCAGGCAGAAAGGAUUUCCCAAUAUUGGUCUCCUUUUCUGGAAUUUACCACGUACUUUGUGCACAUUAGUGCGUGACUUCCAGUGGCAGCUGCUCUAAUCCUGGUCCACAGAGAGCUGACAGUGCAUCCAGAUGUGGCCCCUGAACAAUCCCUGCUGCCCAACAGCACUGACACCACGGGACCCUCACCCCGUCUCCAUCCAUGUCUGGUUGUGAGCCCUUCCCAAGACCAUGCCCAGUGCAGCCUCUUCCCAAGUUCAUGUCACUGAGCCACAAGAGAUAAAAUCUAAGUGAGAUGAGAGGGACUGAGGGAAGGCAUGGGUGAAUGUGAGCAAACCUGUCAGGCAGGAAGCUUCAGACUUAGAAGAUUCCCAACUCCAAGGUCAGCAUUUCUGAAAGGAAGGAGACAGAACAAUCCACUGAGAAUAUCGUCUCACCUGAGGAAGAGCCAUCCCUGACUCCUCUGCUUUCCUUUUCCGGGUUUCUUCCUCAUGUACCAAGAGUCUUUAGAUGUCAAUCCUGAGUGAUAAAAAUAUGUUGUUUAUUGCUCAGAAUCAACACACACCCUCCCUGUAACACAAUGACACAUACAAAGGAGACCUCACCCUGAUGAAAUACAGUCCCCUCUACUGCCCUCCACACCAGGUACCAGGUACAAUAAACUCCUACAGGAAAACUCCCACUCCCCUCCUGGGGAAGCCUACACACACGCUGCAGCAGUGGGGAGCUGGGCUGGAAUGAGCUCUUCAGGGCACCGACCCAGACCUGACCAAACUUCAUACAGAGGCUGGGUGCAGUGGCUCACAGCUGUCAUCCCAGCACUGUGGGAGGCUGAGAGGGGUAGAUCGCUUGAGCUCAGGAGUUUGAGACCAGCCUAGGCAACAUGGUGAAACCCCAUCUCUACCAAAAAUAUAAAAACUUAGCCAGGCAUAGCGGUGCAUGUCUGUGUGUCUGUGCUCCCAGCUACUUAGGAGGUUGAGGUGGGAGAAUCACUUGAGCUCAGGAGUUCGAGACCAGCCUGGCCAACAUAGUGAAACCCUGCCUUUACUAAAAAUACAAAAAUUGAGCCAGUCACAGUGGCUCACGCCUGUAAUACUAGCACUCUGGAAGGCCAAGGUGGGUGGAUUACUUGAGGUCAGAAGUCUGAGACCAGCAUGGUCAACAUGGUGAAACCUUGUCUCUAUUAAAAAUACAAAAAGUAACUGGGCUUGGUAGGUGUCUGUAAUCCCAGUUACUCGGGAGACUGAGGCAGGAGAAUCGCUUGAACCCUGGAGGUGGUGGUUGCAGUGAGCCGAGAUCAUGUCACUGCACUCCAGCCUGGGUGACAGAAUGAGACUCAAAACUAAACUAAAAAUAAAAAUACAAUAAUUAGCUGAGUGUGGUGGCACACACCUGUAAUCUCAGCUAAUUGGGAGGCUGAGACACAAGAAUCGCUUGAGCCCAGGAGACGUAGGUUGCAGUGAGCCAAGAUCAUGAGACUGCACUCACAGCCUGUGCGACAGAGUGAGACUCUGUCUAAAAAAAAAAAAAAAAAAGCGUUUCUGAUGUGAUUGAUGCAGAGAUAAUAAAACCUGAGUCAUGUGAUAGAGACUGAUGGGCAGAGGGAACUUCAGAUGGGGUGGAGGGCAUGGGAGACAGCUCUGAGCCUAGACCUGAACGCAGAGGAAAGGGACAGGGCUGUCAUCAUUUAGGGACAUAGGUUAAGAGCAGGGACAACGACCUGAGACAGGAAAGGUUCUGAUGUUUGGGAAAAGCGAAAAGCAAAUGUGACUGGGGCAAAGGGAGUCAUGAGAUGAGGGCAAGCUCCCAGGAGGAGGCUGGACACUGGCAGGGGCCCUGGACACAGGGCUGUGGAGCCACAGUGAGGAGUUGGGCUUUUGUCCUGGGGAACACGGGAAGCCGGUGGAGGGUUCCCUGCCAGGGACUGACGUGACCUGCUUUAGAUUUGGCUGUGAUGUCCUCAUACAGAGAAAGGCCCCGAAGAUAGUCUCUGUGUCUGAGUCUGCAACUCUGUUUCUUCCAUUCUUCUGCAUUUUAUUAUUUUUUUUUCAUUUUUGGGGUACUGCAUCCCAUUUAAAAUUCUAAUUACAACUGGGCACUCCCCUCUCCCAGAAGAAAAGCCACACCCAGACAUGCAUUCUAUUUUGCCAACCAUUUAAGGGGCCAGGGUCACUCGGGUUGAGCUUUUCUGGUCUAGCCCCUCAUCUCCAAGUUGCAGGGAGGCUCACUGGGCUCAGAGCAGGGAAAUUUUCACCAAGUUACCCUGAGAAGGUCUGAGAUGAGUGAGAAGGUGUGCCUGUUCUUUUUUUUUUUUUUUUUUGACAUGGAGUCUCGCUCUGUCUCCCAGGCUGGAGAGCAGUGGCAGGAUCUCGGUGCAAACUCCGCUUCCCACGUUCACACCAUUCUCCUGCCUCAGCCUUUCGAGUAGCUGGGACUACAGGCAUCCACCCAACAUCUGGCUAAUUUUUUGUAUUUUUAGUAGAGAAGGGGUUUCACCAAGUUAGCCAGGAUAAUCUCGAUCUCCUGACCUCCUGAUCUGCCCGCCUCAGCCUCCCAAAGUGCUAGGAUUACAGGCGUGGGCCACCGCACCCAGCUACCUGAAUUAUUACAUGGGGGCCUGGAAGAGCUAAUGGAAGUGUUGGUCUUUAUCACCCCUAUCCUUGAAAAUUAGAGAGGUAUCUUUCACAUAUCUGGGCUAAAGAAACUUCUUGGCCGGGCGCGGUGGCUCACGCCUGUAAUCCCAGCACUUUGGGAGGCCGAGG
rnacentral:lncRNA from 1 species